GUUGGUCAUGUCUCCGUGUUAUCCCUUUUUGGGUGUGGUCAGUGUGACCCAUGGGGCCCAGGUCGCUUGGAAUGUUCGCGCUGUGUUGUCAUCAGUUAUGGCCAUGCGUUCAAAAAUGUAAAAUUGUUGUAUUUUGUCUCUUAGCUGGGCUUUUGUUGGGCACAGUGUAGAUUUCCAGUUCAAGGCCAAUAGGUUACGGGCUGCAAGGGUGGUGAGUGCGCUCAGUUGUUUUUGUGAUUUGUCAAAUAGUGGCAGAAACCGCAGAAGUAGGUACACCUCUGGGGUUUUUGGGGUGUUGGGCACGUGAAGGAUACGAAGUGUGCGAUGCACCUCUGUCCAGAGAGGUUGUAUGUUAGGGCAGUUCCACCAUAUAUGUAUGAGUGUACCCUCAGCAGCCUUGCAUCUCCAACAUAACGAAGAUGUGUUUGGGUAGAUUUUGUGAAGCCUACUUGGGGUUAGGUACCAUGUAUAUAAUAGUUUCCUAUGGGCUUCGAUGUGUGUGUAGCAACGUGUCCAUUUGGAUAAGUCAUUGAGUGCAUGUAUCCAUUCCCUCUCUGUGAGUUGGA